rnacentral:rRNA from 1 species
AUUGAACGCUGGCGGCAGGCCUAACACAUGCAAGUCGAGCGGAUGAAGGGAGCUUGCUCCUGGAUUCAGCGGCGGACGGGUGAGUAAUGCCUAGGAAUCUGCCUGGUAGUGGGGGAUAACGUCCGGAAACGGGCGCUAAUACCGCAUACGUCCUGAGGGAGAAAGUGGGGGCUCUUCGGACCUCACGCUAUCAGAUGAGCCUAGGUCGGAUUAGCUAGUUGGUGGGGUAAAGGCCUACCAAGGCGACGAUCCGUAACUGGUCUGAGAGGAUGAUCAGUCACACUGGAACUGAGACACGGUCCAGACUCCUACGGGAGGCAGCAGUAGGGAAUAUUGGACAAUGGGCGAAAGCCUGAUCCAGCCAUGCCGCGUGUGUGAAGAAGGUCUUCGGAUGGUAAAGCGCUUUAAGUGGGGAGGAAGUGCAGUAAGUUAAUACCUUGCUGUUUUGACGUUACCAGCAGAAUAAGCACCGGCUAACUUCGU